rnacentral:lncRNA from 1 species
CUGUGUAUGGCAGGGGGCGGAGGCAGGGAGAAGGAGUGAGAGAGUGCUCUGGUGUCUCUUCUAAUAAAGACACCAAUCCUAUUGGAUCAGUGUUGCACCCUUACAAUCUCAUUUAAACUUAAUUACUUCCAUAUAAGUCUCAUCUCCAAAUACAGCCACACUGAGGGUUAAGGAUUCUACAUAUGAAUUUUGAGAGGCAAAAACUCUCAGUCUACAACACUAGUUUUUUUUUUUUUUUUUAAUUUUGUAGAUUGUUCUUUUGGUGUCCUAUUUAAAAAAUUAUUUCCUAACCCAAGGUCACAAAAGUUUCCUUCUGUAUUUUAUUGUUUUAGAUUUUACAUUUAGGUCUAUGAUCCAUUUUGAUUUAAUUUUCAUAUCUCUGUGAGCCUUGCUCAACUCAAAUAUGGGUUCUAAGAGUGAUUUUGAAGGUUCUACCAGAUUUUCUACAUAGACGAUCAGUUUUCAGAUUCUCUAUACAGGCUGACCCCUAUGGCCUACUAAGAAUGAAUAAUUAAAACUCUAGGAAUCCCAGGGUUUGUUGGAGUUCAGGGUUGUCGCUGAGUGGUGGAAAUAUUGUUCUCAACCAAAAAAAAAAAAAAAAAUGUGGGGAUUACAUGCCAGUACCAUCCACCCCUGCAUUAGAAGUUUUCAUCGAAGAGCUUCAUUUCACAAGGUCUUUGAUGGAACAACAGAAGAGACAGGGCUCAUCUGACUGAUCCAAGGAGCAAGGACACCCAGGACUUAUCUUUAGAUCUCACCUCACCUGCCUGAGCAAGCCAGUGAGAAUGGGAUGUAAGGAGUCAGCUCUAGAGGUCUAAAGAAUCAUCUAACAGGGAAAGCUGAAUGUAUGGACAUUCUGCGGUCUUCUGCCACCCAGAAGUACAGGGCAAGAUGUCCAGAAUGUGGAUCCUAUCUCUGACCUUAUCCCAUUUUUUCAGUUAUUCUCAGCAGUCACUUUUUUGCUUGUAAGUAUAGAGACGCUCACCUUACUCAUAAUACAAUCUAAAGAUCUUCCAUGACCUCUCUGACCUGCAGGAUCUCCCUCUAAUGCCUCUCUUACCCUUCCCUUCUCUUGAGCUUUGCUUGACAUUCCUGGUAUCUCUGCCAAGGCCACUCUCCUCCCUGAGUACUGCUUGGCUCACUCCUUCAUUUAACUUUCACUUUGACUCAAGUUACCAUGUUUUCAGAGAUAUUUACAUAUACUUCACAAGUAUUCCUACUUAUGAUGGUUUUUUGUGUAUCAACUUGACAGGGCAAAGGGAUGUCUAGAUAGCUGGUAAAACAUUGUUUCUGGUUAUGUUUGUGAGAGUGUUUCUGGAAGACGUUAGCAUUUGAAUGACUAGACAGAGCACAGAAGAUCCACCUUCACCAAUGUGGGUGACCAUCAUCUAAUCCCUUGAGGGCUAGAAUAGGACGACGACAACAACAACAACAACAAAAGAAACCACAGCAAAUUUACUCUUUCUGUUUGACUCGGACACUCUGUCUCCUCCAGCUUGGGGACACUGGUGCUCCUGGUUCUCAGGCCUUUGAAGCCAAACCAGCAGGGUUUACAACAUUAGCUCCCCUGGUUUUUGGACCUUUGGACUUAGGCUGAAUUAUGGCAGUGGCUUUCCUGGUUCUCCACUUGGGGAUGGCAGAUCAUGGGACUUCUUGGCCUCCAUAAUUAAGUGAGCCAAUUCCCAAGCUGAAGAAUAAAAUUCAAUAGAAA